rnacentral:rRNA from 1 species
AGCCUGAUCCAGCCAUGCCGCGUGAGUGAUGAAGGCCUUCGGGUUGUAAAGCUCUUUCGGCCGGGAAGAAAUCGCCUCUUUUAAUAGAGGAUGUGGAUGACGGCUCCGGACUAAGAAGCACCGGCUAACUACGUGCCAGCAGCCGCGGUAAUAA